AUAGGCUUGAUCAAACGGCCUGCAUGCCUCUAAUUAAAUGGUUCAUAUCAAUUCUCCCAUUAGGUGCGAUUGAACGGCCUUUGAACGGCCUUUGAUGUUCCACAUGUUCCUGCAUGGAUGGUCCAAAUUAAAGUUAAAAAGGUAUUUAAAUCUUGCUACCCGGUUCCCCAAAACCCUAGUCGCCAAGGCCACUAGAGAAGAAGAAGAAGGACGGCUGAAAAAUGAACUAAUCGUCAGAGAAAAGGAAGCCGACCACCGUCGCCGCCGCACUAGAGACCCAAAUCUGCACCGAUAAGUGAAAUUUUCUCCCGUUCAUUCUUUUUUUUAUCACCAAAAAAUCUAAGGGAAAGCCAUAAACGAAGGGCAGAGCUCGGCUGAGUUGCUAUACCCGAAACUAGAAAAACCCCUUCGAUGAGCCGGAAUCCUUUUUUUGUUCCCUUCUAUUCUCAACGCUAGGCUAUCUAACAUGUUUUCAGUGUAGGAAAACUGAAGUAAGGCCGCAACCGCGAGGAAGAAGUGCGCAAAGCCACUGCAAUGAAAAACUAGAACUGUUGGUAAUUUUCGUUUUUCCUUUUUUUUCUACCAACAGAGGUCACUUAAUCCCGAAUUACGUAGGUUCUCACCCAAAACCUGCCGAAAUU
rnacentral:lncRNA from 1 species